UGUCCCCACGCCCUUGUCCAAAUUCCCUCUCUUGUUGCCUCAGAAGUGGCACUUUAGACCUUGCAGCAUUCACACAGAUGCAGAAAUGUCUUGAGGCCAUUGAUCAGAUAUCCUUGUGUAUUCUGGCCUUCCACAUACCCUUGCAGAAGUCAAUACAGUGAAUCCCAGAAAGUGAAAAAAAGCCAUAGAAAGUGAGACAACUGCAAGGUAACAGCAUGGAUUUUGGAAAGGAGCUUUGUCCUCCUUCAAAGUUAUGCCACAUCUGAAGUGCAGCCAGAUCUCCCUUAAGUGUGCUGACAGAUGCAGAGGAAAGACAUCCUGUCUCUAUUCUUGCACCCUUCACCAUUGCCUCCUAUCAUAA
rnacentral:lncRNA from 1 species